rnacentral:lncRNA from 1 species
UUAUAUACAGAUCCAAACCCCCCUUGGCCAAGCUCAUUGACGGAGGAAAAAUUGCUUGUGGCUGCAGCUACCGUGCCAAAAUCAAAGAAUGGUAGAUCUGUUUGUGGUCUACCUUCCCUGUUGAGGUCUUUCAGACCCGUAAGCACGUCAAAAGGUCUUUCAGACCCGUAAGCACGUCAAAAUUUGUCAAGCUUGUGGUAACACUAACAUUAUGAUUACGCCUUCUUCUAUCU